CUCUGGUGAGCAGAAAAAAUGUCCACUCGCUACCACCAAGCUGCUAGUGAUAGCUACCUGGAACUCUUGAAAGAAGCUACCAAGAGAGAUCUGAAUCUUUCUGAUGAGGAUGGUAUGACUCCCACACUCCUGGCAGCCUACCAUGGGAAUCUGGAAGCCCUAGAAAUAAUCUGCAGCCGAGGAGGGGAUCCCAAUAGAUGUGACAUCUGGGGAAAUACUCCUCUACAUUAUGCAGCUUCCAAUGGUCAUACCCACUGUGUUUCAUUCCUGGUUAACUUUGGUGCCAACAUUUUUGCCCUGGACAACAGCUUACAGUCUCCGCUGGAUGCUGCUGCCAGCAGAGAACAAAAUGAAUGUGUUGCUCUCCUGGAUAAGGCUGCCACUACCCAGAAUAUCAUGAACCCCAAGAAAGUUACCAGGCUGAAGGAGCAGGCUCAGAAAAAUGCUAAGAGGCAGAUCAAAGAAUGUGAGAGGCUCCAGGAGAAGCACCAAAAUAAAAUGGCUCGCAACUAUAGCAAGGAAGAAUCUGGGACUCUUUCUUCUUCCAAUGGCACAUUCUCCAGGUCAUCCCUUGCAAAUGCUUCUGCUUCUGGUACAUUUGGGUCACUGUCUAAGGGCAUUAAAGAUACCUUCAAGUUAAAGCUCAAGAAAAACAAAGAUACAGCAGAGCAGGUAGGGAAAGAGAGCAGAAGUGGGCAGAGGAAUGUGAUGGAAGUGUUCAGAGAAGAGGAAGAAGAUGCAUUCUCAGGGGACUUCCAAGAGAAGCCCCAGUUCUCAGCAGAGGAUGAUGGAUGUGUGCAACAUGAAUCCAUUCUCAACCGUCCAGGUCUAGGAAAUAUUGUUUUUAGAAAGAACAAAAUAUCAAGUCCUGAAGACAUGUCAGACAUCAAAAGGGGGUUGGAGUUUAAAAUGUGCAGUGAAUUGCUUCAGAGACAAGGAGCAGCUGAGGUUGAUGAAGCCGAGGCAGAUAAAGAGGGAGAGGAAAACAGUCAUGAAGAUGAUCUGCCUUGGGAUGACGAUGAAGUGGGGUGGGAGGAAGAUGUGGUUGAUGCUACUCCUCUGGAAGUAUUUCUGCAGUCUCAUCAUCUGGAAGAAUUCCUUCCCAUUUUCAUGAGAGAGCAGAUUGAUCUAGAAGCUUUGCUGCUUUGUUCUGAUGAGGACCUUCAGAGUAUACACAUGCAUCUUGGUCCCAGGAAGAAAGUUCUUAAUGUUAUAAACAGAAGGAAGCAGGUGCUACGAGAGCCUGGGCAACUGGUUGACACCAGCCUCUGAUGGAAUGUUGGGUCCAUAGGGUGAGCCUGCAGCAAUGCGGUGAUGCUGUGGCUCACUGGAAACACUCAGGCAACAGCCCCUCUGCCCAAUGCCAGACUGCUGAGAAUGGUUUCUAGGGUUUCAGAAAUACCCUCCUAGCAAAGAGGCCCAAAUGUACUCAGAAAUACUCUAAACCAUGAGUGAGCAACUCAAGGAGAAUCAGGAAUAAGAAAAUGGUGUUUCUCUUCAAUUAUCCUUUUGAUAUUCUUGGCUAUAGAAAGCAUAAAAUGGAUGACAGAGAAGGGGAAACUUUACUUUUCCAACUCUGAACUAUAAUCUCUUGUCACACAAGUGUGCUGCUUACUUUCUGAGCUUCAUAGUCUGGGGGACUCCCAACUCCAGUCAUCUCCUUAGCUCUGUGACUUUGUAGGUAGAAACUUGAGUUUCUUCAUUGACCUGAGGCUUCACGGCCAACUUAAAUGUGUCUAAACCCUCAACAGAUGUUUACAUGUUUAGAAGUAAGAGACAUGGGUCUAUAAUACUCCUGCCUGGUGACAGAGACAGAGUGGCAGACAGGGAGAGUGAAGAAAGAAAUAGAAUAUGGAAUAUACCUUUUAUGUAAUAUGAAUUGUAUCUCCCCAAAAUUCAUAUGCUGAAGCCUUAAGCUCCAACACAGCUAUAUUUGGAGGUAGGAUCUUUAAAGAGGUGAUUAAGAUUAAAUGAUGUCAUCAGGGUUACAAGGGACACACACAGAUGGUGUCCUUGUAAGAGGAAGAGUUACCGGGUUUGCGCACACACACAGAGAAAAGAUCAUGUGAAGACACAACAAGAAGGCAGCCACCUUCAAGCCAAAGAGAGAGGAGAAACCAAACCUUCCAACACCUCGAACUUGCACUUCUGGUCUUCAGAGCUGUAAGAAAAUAAAUUUCUGUUGUUUAAGCCACCCAGUCUAUGGUACUUUGUUAUGGCAGUCUUAGCAGUCCAAGUCCAGUGUUUAAGCAAGAGGAUAGGAGUGGAGAGAAAAGAAGGAAACUGAAAAAAGUCUGGCCUAUUUGAUGAUUUUUCUAAAGGCUAGGGAAAUAGAAGAGACAUCUUGCCUCAAAAUCAAGACAGCCCUUCCUGGGGAUUCACAGUGUGAGAGAGAUUCUCUAUUGUUGGCUUUGAAGAUGGAGCAUCCACAUUACAAGGAAGGGUUCACAUGUUUCUGAGGACCUUAAAAGGCCUGCUCAUUUUGCAUGAGUAAAACAUCACUGCAGAUGCAGCUGUUUGGUCCAGCCUAGGGACAACUCUGGCCACUG